UCUUGUGUAGCUCAGUUGGUUAGAACAUGGUCUGAUAACACCAGGGUUGCAGGUUUGAUUCUCUGCUGUGGGAC